UACGUAGGGGGGCAAGCGUUUGUCCGGAUUUAUUGGGCGUAAAGAGCGUGUAGGCGGCUUUACAGGUCCGUUUGUGAAAACUCGAGGCUCAACCUCGAGACGCCGGUGGAAACCGUAAAGCUAGAGUCCGGAAGAGGAGAGUGGAAUUCCUGGUGUAGCGGUGAAAUGCGCAGAUAUCGGGAAGAACACCCGUGGCGAAGGCGGGUUCUCUGGGACGGUACUGACGCUGAGACGCGAAAGCGUGGGGGAGCGAACAGG
rnacentral:rRNA from 1 species